rnacentral:misc_RNA from 1 species
AACAUUUCAUAUUCUUUUGGUGAUUUUACUUCUCGCAUCUCUUGUUCAUUAGCAUUGUCCUUUCUUCCACUUCACUAACUAUAGAGUCUAGUGGAGGUCAGGCCAACAUGUAAUUAAAAGGUUUUAUUGGUGCAUUCAUGUAAUUAUGCACCCAUGCAUUAAAUAGCAAAAGUUCUAAAAGGAGAAAAUAUGCACCUACUGCCUAAGUAAUUAGAAGAACCCUAAUUUGGGUAAAAUGCUAGAAAUAGUGUCCAAUCUGUCACCUUUUCAUGCCAUUGUUUAGUGGCAAUGUUUAUCAUCAAGAAUGUAAGGUUUUGAGUUUGAGUUAUAGUCAAAAUUAAAAUUAAAAAAAAAAAGUGAAUUAUUAACCCAAU